GAGAAAUAUAGAGGAGAACGCAGCUCUGCAAACAAAUACAUCAUUUCUGCUGCUCUGGCCAUCAUGGCUGCGGGUGCCAUUGCACAUUACUUUCAAAUAAAUUUCAUUAGAAGGAGAUUUGAGGAAUACCAAGAAAAAGUCCAGCAAGAGACAUCUAGUGUUUACAACACUGUUCGGCAAAAAGCAAAGUUAAAUGGGCCACGAAAGCAGCUGCAACUUUUAGCAUCAAGUAAAGAAUUUUCCGACUCUUCAAAAGACCGUUGAACUUUAAGAAUUUUUCGAGUGUAUAAAGCUUUUGUGUUGUGAAUUUAAAGUCUAGAAAAAUUAACCAUCUGUAUGAUAAUUAGUUUAUUAGAAUAUGUAAAUGAAUCUCUAGUUCUUUGG